rnacentral:rRNA from 1 species
AUACGUAGGGUGCGAGCGUUGUCCGGAAUUACUGGGCGUAAAGAGCUCGUAGGUGGUUUGUCGCGUCGUCUGUGAAAUUCCGGGGCUUAACUCCGGGCGUGCAGGCGAUACGGGCAUAACUUGAGUACUGUAGGGGAGACUGGAAUUCCUGGUGUAGCGGUGAAAUGCGCAGAUAUCAGGAGGAACACCGGUGGCGAAGGGGGGUCUCUGGGCAGUAACUGACGCUGAGGAGCGAAAGCAUGGGUAGCGAACAGGAUUAGAUACCCUGGUAGUCCAUGCCGUAAACGGUGGGCGCUAGGUGUAGGGGUCUUCCACGACUUCUGUGCCGUAGCUAACGCAUUAAGCGCCCCGCCUGGGGAGUACGGCCGCAAGGCUAAAACUCAAAUGAAUUGACGGGG